rnacentral:rRNA from 1 species
GGAAUAUUGGACAAUGGGCGAAAGCCUGAUCCAGCGACGCCGCGUGAGUGAUGAAGGCCUUCGGGUUGUAAAGCUCUGUUGAGGGAGAAGAAACCAGUUAGAACUAACAUGUCUAGCUCUUGACGGUAUCCCUUUAGAAAGCACCGGCUAACUACGUGCCAGCAGCCGCGGUAAUACGGAGGGGGCUAGCGUUGUUCGGAAUUACUGGGCGUAAAGCGCGCGUAGGCGGCUUUGUAAGUUAGAGGUGAAAGCCCAGGGCUCAACCCUGGAAUUGCCUUUAAGACUGCAUCGCUAGAAUUGUGGAGAGGUGAGUGGAAUUCCGAGUGUAGAGGUGAAAUUCGUAGAUAUUCGGAAGAACGCCAGUGGCGAAGGCGACUCACUGGACACAUAUUGACGCUGAGGUGCGAAAGCGUGGGGAGCAAAC